rnacentral:misc_RNA from 1 species
GAUGAAGAACGCAGCGAAAUGCGAUAAGUAAUGUGAAUUGCAGAAUUCAGUGAAUCAUCGAAUCUUUGAACGCACAUUGCGCCCGCCAGUAUUCUGGCGGGCAUGCCUGUCCGAGCGUCAUUUUAACCCUCGAACCCCUCCGGGGGGUCGGCGUUGGGGAUCGGGAACCCCUAAGACGGGAUCCCGGCCCCGAAAUACAGUGGCGGUCUCGCCGCAGCCUCUCCUGCGCAGUAGUUUGCACAACUCGCACCGGGAGCGCGGCGCGUCCACGUCCGUAAAACACCCAACUUUCUGAAAUGUUGACCUCGGAUCAGGUAGGAAUACCCGCUGAACUUAAGCAUAUCAAUAAGCGGAGGA